AACGAACGCUGGCGGCAUGCCUAACACAUGCAAGUCGAACGAGACCUUCGGGUCUAGUGGCGCACGGGUGCGUAACGCGUGGGAACCUGCCCUUAGGUUCGGAAUAACUCCCCGAAAGAGGUGCUAAUACCGGAUAAUGUCUUCGGACCAAAGGUUUAUCGCCUUUGGAUGGGCCCGCGUUGGAUUAGCUAGUUGGUAGGGUAAAAGCCUACCAAGGCGACGAUCCAUAGCUGGUCUGAGAGGAUGAUCAGCCACACUGGGACUGAGACACGGCCCAGACUCCUACGGGAGGCAGCAGUGGGGAAUAUUGGACAAUGGGCGAAAGCCUGAUCCAGCAAUGCCGCGUGAGUGAUGAAGGCCUUAGGGUUGUAAAGCUCUUUUACCCGGGAUGAUAAUGACAGUACCGGGAGAAUAAGCUCCGGCUAACUCCGUG
rnacentral:rRNA from 1 species